rnacentral:lncRNA from 1 species
GUCAGAUUUCUUCUGUCCCAGUGAUAUGUUAUUUGCUUUAAUCUUUUAUUCUUGAGGUGACCUGAUGGCUCAGAAUGGCUAGUCUAGUUUCCAUCACUGUGCUGAUAUUCAGAAAACAAGAAGGUGUAGCAAAUACAGAAGAGAGCAAAGUACAGCACAGGAGGAAUUCUUAAACAGCAAGGUGCAUUAACUGGAAAUUUGUCUAUUUA